rnacentral:rRNA from 1 species
UGUCCCAGUUCGGACUGGAGUCUGCAACCCGACUCCACGAAGUUGGAUUCGCUAGUAAUCGCGCAUCAGCCAUGGCGCGGUGAAUACGUUCCCGGGCCUUGUACACACCGCCCGUCAAGCCAUGGGAGCCGGGGGUACCUGAAGUGCGUAACCGCGAGGAGCGCCCUAGGGUAAAACUGGUGACUGGGGCUAAGUCGUAACAAGGUAUC